rnacentral:piRNA from 1 species
UGCAUCAGCCUAACGCCUGAUUGUG